rnacentral:rRNA from 1 species
GAGUUCGAUCCUGGCUCAGAUUGAACGCUGGCGGGAUGCUUACACAUGCAAGUCGAACGGCAGCACGGACUUCGGUCUGGUGGCGAGUGGCGAACGGGUGAGUAAUGUAUCCGGAACGUGCCUAGCGUGGCGGGGGAUAACUACUGAAAGCGUAGCUAAUACCGCAUACGCCCUUCGGGGAAGCGAAGGCCUUCCGGGCCUCGCACUAUUAGAAGCGGCCGAUAUCGGAUUAGCUAGUUGGUGGGGUAACAGCUCACCAAGGCGACGAUCCGUAGCUGGUUUGAGAGGACGACCAGCCACACUGGGACUGAGACACGGCCCAGACUCCUACGGGAGGCAACAGUGGGGAAUUUUGGACAAUGGGGGAAACCUGAUCCAGCCAUCCCGCGUGUGCGAUGAAGGCCUUCGGGUUGUAAGCACUUUUGGCAGGAAAGAAACGGCACGGGAUAAUACCCCGUGCAACUGACAGUACCUGCAGAAUAAGCACCGGCUAACUACGUGCCAGCAGCCGCGGUAAUACAUAGGGUGCAAGCGUUAAUCGGAAUUACUGGGCGUAAAGCGUGCGCAGGCAGGUUCCGGAAAGAAAGAUGUGAAAUCCCAGAGCUUAACUUUGGAACUGCAUUUUUAACUACCGAGCUAGAGUGUGUCAGAGAGUGGAAUUCCGCGUGUAGCAGUGAAAUGCGUAGAUAUGCGGAGGAACACCGAUGGCGAAGGCAGCCUCCUGGGAUAACACUGACGCUCAUGCACACGAAAGCGUGGGAGCAAACGAAGUUAGAUACCCUGGUAGUCCACGCCCUAAACGAUGUCAACUAGCUGUUGGGGCCUUCGGGCCUUGGUAGCGCAGCUAACGCGUGAAGUUGACCGCCUGGGGAGUACGGUCGCAAGAUUAAAACUCAAAGGAAUUGACGGGGACCCGCACAAGCGGUGGAUGAUGUGGAUUAAUUCGAUGCAACGAAAAACCUUACCUACCCUUGACAUGUCUGGAAUCCCGAAGAGAUUUGGGAGUGCUCGCAGAGAACCGGAACACAGGUGCUGCAUGGCUGUCGUCGGCUCGUGUCGUGAGAUGUUGGGUUAAGUCCACCAACGAGCGCAACCCUUGUCAUUAGUUGCUGAAAGGGCACUCUAAUGAGACUGCCGGUAUUGACAAACCGGAGGAAGGUGGGGAUGACGUCAAGUCCUCAUGGCCCUUAUGGGUAGGGCUUGCGUCAUACAAUGGUCGGGACAGAGGUCGCCAACCCGCGAGGGGAGCCAAUCCCAGAAACCCGAUCGUAGUCGGAUCAUGAUCUGCAGCUCGACUGCGUGAAGUCUGAAUCGCUAGUAAUCGCGGAUCAGCAUGUCGCGGUGAAUACGUUCCCGGGUCUUGUACACACCGCCCGUCACACCAUAGAGGAGUGGGUUUUGCCAAGUAGUUAGCCUAACCGUAAGGAGGCGAUUACUACGGUAGGAUUCAUGACUGGUCAAGUCGUAACAAAGGUAA